rnacentral:rRNA from 1 species
UACGUAGGGUGCGAGCGUUGUCCGGAAUUACUGGGCGUAAAGAGCUCGUAGGUGGUUUGUCGCGUUGUCCGUGAAAACUCACAGCUUAACUGUGGGCGUGCGGGCGAUACGGGCAGACUGGAGUACUGCAGGGGAGACUGGAAUUCCUGGUGUAGCGGUGGAAUGCGCAGAUAUCAGGAGGAACACCGGUGGCGAAGGCGGGUCUCGUGGGCAGUAACUGACGCUGAGGAGCGAAAGCGCGGGGAGCGAACAGG